UACAGAGGGGGCAAGCGUUGUUCGGAAUUACUGGGCGUAAAGGGCGCGUAGGCGGCCUUCUAAGUCGAACGUGAAAUCCCCGGGCUCAACCCGGGAACUGCGUCCGAUACUGGAAGGCUUGAAUCCGGGAGAGGGAUGUGGAAUUCCGGGUGUAGCGGUGGAAUGCGUAGAGAUCCGGAAGAACACCGGUGGCGAAGGCGGUCUGCUGGGCAGUAGCUGACGCUGAGGCGCGAUAGCGUGGGGAGCAAACAGG
rnacentral:rRNA from 1 species